GGAGGUAGUGACAAUAAAUCACAAUGCGGGACUAUUCGUCUUGCAAUUGGAUUGAGAACAAUGUACAACUCUUAUCGAUAAGCCAUUGGAGGGCAAGUCUGGUGCCAGCAGCCGCGGUAAUUCCAGCUCCAAUAGCGUAUAUUAACGUUGUUGCAGUUAAAAAGCUCGUAGUUGAAGUGUGGGUGGUGCCAUCUGUGGAGCUUCGGCUUUUCAGAUGAUCACUACCCCCUUCCAGUAUCCAGUAGUGGGUAUUCAGUUACUUACUAUUGUGUGUUGGUCGUUUACUGUGAGAAAAUUAGAGUGUUCAAAGCAGGCGUUUGCUUGAAUAGAUUAGCAUGGAAUAAUAAUUGAAGGCUUUCGUGUUCGAUUUGAUUGGUUUGUUCAUGGAAGCAAGGUUAAAAGGAACAGUUGGGGGUAUUCAUAUUCACUAGUUAGAGGUGAAAUUCUCGGAUUUAUGGAAGAUGAACAAGUGCGAAAGCA
rnacentral:rRNA from 1 species